UUAUGAAACUGAUACUCAAUCAACUUAAGGCAGAGUAGUUAACAUGGAGUUUGGUUAUUGUGCAGUGUUUCUGAUACUGCUUCUUCCAAUCUCAUGUGCAGCUUCUACGUUAGUUGAUAAGAAGUUCAAAGAAUGCUUGUUAACCCAACUUGAUGGCAAUUCUGAAUCCAUUGAAAAAAUAACCUUCACGUCCUCCUCCUCAUUAUAUCCCCAAGUCUUGGAUUUAUUGGAACAAAAUCCUAGAUGGGUUAAUUCCACAAGGAAGCCUCUCAUCAUUCUAACACCUUUCCAUGAAUCAGAAAUUCAAGCAGCCAUUCUAUGCAGCAAACAACUUGGGCUGCAGCUAAGAGUUAGAAGUGGUGGCCAUGAUUAUGAGGGGCUAUCAUACCUUAGUAAGGUCCCAUUUGUGAUGGUUGACCUCAUCAACAUCCGUUCCAUCGAAAUUAACCUUGAUGAUGAAACUGCUUGGGUUCAGGCUGGGGCAUCAUUAGGUGAACUUUACUACAAAAUUUCAAAAGCAAGUAAAGUGCAUGGAUUCCCUGCAGGAAUCUGUCCAAGUAUAGGGAUAGGGGGACAUAUCAGUGGAGGGGGGCAAGGUAUGAUGAUGAGGAGACAUGGUCUAGCAGCAGACCAUGUUGUUGAUGCUUACCUCAUUGAUGUAAAUGGGAAGAUUCAUGAUAGAAAAUCAAUGGGAGAAGAUGUUUUCUGGGCCAUUAGAGGAGGAAGUGCCACUAGUUUUGGAGUCAUCCUUGGAUGGAAGAUCAGGUUGGUCAGAGUUCCACCUAUUGUUACUGGGUUCAACAUUCCCAGAACACCGGAGGAAGGAGCCACCAAUCUCAUUCACAGGUGGCAACACAUAGCACAUGAAUUGCAUGAGGAUCUUUUCAUUAGAGUAAUUGCUCAAAAUAGUGGAGACAAAUCAAAAAAAUUCCAAGCAACCUUCAACUCUGUCUUCCUUGGAGGAAUAGACAGUUUGAUCCCACUGAUGAAUGAGAGUUUCCCAGAAUUGGGAUUGCAGGCCAAAGACUGCACUGAAAUGAGCUGGAUUCAAUCAGUUCUGUUCAUUGCUGGAUACAAAAAGGACGACCCUCUAGAACUCUUGCUUGACAGAAUUACCACAUUUAAAAGCUUUUUCAAGGCAAAGUCCGACUUCGUGAAGGAGCCAAUACCAAAAUCUGGUCUAGACGGAGCUUGGAAAAUGCUUCUAGGAAACAUUAGCAAUGCUGAUAUUGGAACCUUACGGUGGUAGAAUGGAUGAAAUUUCAGAAUCUGACAUCCCUUUUCCCCACAGAAAGGGUAACUUGUACAACAUACAAUACUUGGUCAAGUGGGAAGUGAAUAGCGACGAAGAAUCCAGGAGGCAUCUACACUGGGCUAAAAUGGUUUACAAAUACAUGACUCCUUAUGUCUCAAAAUCUCCAAGAGCUGCCUAUUUCAACUAUAAGGAUCUUGAUUUAGGCAAAAACAAGCAUGAAAACACAAGCUACUCAAAAGCUAGUGUUUGGGGUGAGAAGUACUUUAAGGGAAACUUUAGGAGAUUGGUACAUAUUAAGACAACGUUUGACCCCCAAAAUUUUUUCAGGAAUGAACAGAGUAUUCCUCUCCUAAAUUCCCAGCAUUCUUAACAUAAAAGGCAUGAUAUUAUUUGGAGCACCUAAGACAUUUGUGUAGUGCUUCAAUAUGAUGUUAAUCUUCUGCUUGGUGUUAUUGUUAUAGACCCAAUCAGGAACGGAAUGCUGCUUUUGCAGACAUUUCAAAGGUUGGGGAUGCAAUUUCAAAAUGGAUAUGACGUAUUUUCAUAAUGGGUGUGGACUGGUGUAACACAUCAUGAAGUUACAAAAUCUCAUAAGAAUGUACCCUUAAGUUGCAUAUUAUGUCGUCUAAUUACCCUUCGUAUUUCUACAUUUCAUUUCCUUUUCUUCCAUGUUACCUUUAUAUUUUUCUUGAUAUUUUAAAUUAUCAUUGAACAGAAGAACUGUAACGGUCUGUGUUUGAUACAAUUCCA